ensembl:snRNA U4 U4 spliceosomal RNA
GACUUUGUGCAGUGGCAGUAUAGCAGCCAAUGAGGUUUGUCUGAGGCGCGAUCAUUGAUAAUUGAAAACUAUUCCCAAUACCUCACCAGGAUGAUUUGACAUACCUUUGACACUGGCAAUUUUUGACUUGGCAAAAUAGCC